rnacentral:rRNA from 1 species
GAUGAACGCUGGCGGCGUGCCUAAUACAUGCAAGUCGAGCGAACGGACGAGAAGCUUGCUUCUCUGAUGUUAGCGGCGGACGGGUGAGUAACGCGUGGAUAACCUACCUAUAAGACUGGGAUAACUUCGGGAAACCGGAGCUAAUACCGGAUAAUAUUUUGAACCGCAUGGUUCAAAAGUGAAAGACGGUCUUGCUGUCACUUAUAGAUGGAUCCGCGCUGCAUUAGCUAGUUGGUAAGGUAACGGCUUACCAAGGCAACGAUGCAUAGCCGACCUGAGAGGGUGAUCGGCCACACUGGAACUGAGACACGGUCCAGACUCCUACGGGAGGCAGCAGUAGGGAAUCUUCCGCAAUGGGCGAAAGCCUGACGGAGCAACGCCGCGUGAGUGAUGAAGGUCUUCGGAUCGUAAAACUCUGUUAUUAGGGAAGAACAUAUGUGUAAGUAACUGUGCACAUCUUGACGGUACCUAAUCAGAAAGCCACGGCUAACUACGUGCCAGCAGCCGCGGUAAUACGUAGGUGGCAAGCGUUAUCCGGAAUUAUUGGGCGUAAAGCGCGCGUAGGCGGUUUUUUAAGUCUGAUGUGAAAGCCCACGGCUCAACCGUGGAGGGUCAUUGGAAACUGGAAAACUUGAGUGCAGAAGAGGAAAGUGGAAUUCCAUGUGUAGCGGUGAAAUGCGCAGAGAUAUGGAGGAACACCAGUGGCGAAGGCGACUUUCUGGUCUGUAACUGACGCUGAUGUGCGAAAGCGUGGGGAUCAAACAGGAUUAGAUACCCUGGUAGUCCACGCCGUAAACGAUGAGUGCUAAGUGUUAGGGGGUUUCCGCCCCUUAGUGCUGCAGCUAACGCAUUAAGCACUCCGCCUGGGGAGUACGACCGCAAGGUUGAAACUCAAAGGAAUUGACGGGGACCCGCACAAGCGGUGGAGCAUGUGGUUUAAUUCGAAGCAACGCGAAGAACCUUACCAAAUCUUGACAUCCUUUGACAACUCUAGAGAUAGAGCUUUCCCCUUCGGGGGACAAAGUGACAGGUGGUGCAUGGUUGUCGUCAGCUCGUGUCGUGAGAUGUUGGGUUAAGUCCCGCAACGAGCGCAACCCUUAAGCUUAGUUGCCAUCAUUAAGUUGGGCACUCUAAGUUGACUGCCGGUGACAAACCGGAGGAAGGUGGGGAUGACGUCAAAUCAUCAUGCCCCUUAUGAUUUGGGCUACACACGUGCUACAAUGGACAAUACAAAGGGCAGCGAAACCGUGAGGUCAAGCAAAUCCCAUAAAGUUGUUCUCAGUUCGGAUUGUAGUCUGCAACUCGACUACAUGAAGCUGGAAUCGCUAGUAAUCGUAGAUCAGCAUGCUACGGUGAAUACGUUCCCGGGUCU